CUGACUUCUACCACAAAAGCAACCCGGAUCAGGAAGCCGGUGGGAGAACCCGGGGCUUGGCUGUUCAAGGACGCUUUGGCCCGGGAACCUGCAAUUGGAGUAAGGUGGCGGACAGCGCAGAUGUUGCUGGCGGUUGGGAGACCACACCUGAAGCAGCAAGGGUGAGCUCGCCCUCAUUCUCGAACUUCCAGUGCCUCAUAAUCACCUGCGGAGCUUUGACAAACUUCGGGGGCCCAUGCUCAAAGAUUGCAAUUGGAACGAUUGUGAUUGUGGUGGUCAUGCGCGGACAGGUUUGGGAACUUAUCGGGAGUUGCAAGUCAAGAGGCCAAGAGAUGAUGAUCAGGCCGGGAGUACCCUGUCCCGGUCCCCUGUCCCCGUGUAACCCACACCAAGUUGGGAAUGCUUCCAGAGGUGAGUCUCUUCGUGGCAGGCAUGUCCCGGCCAUGGCUACCGGGUAAGUCUGCUUUCUCUUGUUUCACAUCUACCCACAUUCAGUAUAACCCUAGGAGAGCUGCCGCCGGGGCACAUACCAACCCAGUCAUCUGCUGGGGUGCAAGCGAUAGAGGGAUGCAGCUAGAAUGUUGAGAACCAAUUGAGAGACUGAAGACACAAAUGGACAAUGGCCCGACCACAUAGGACGACAAAACCCCGACUCAGUGACUGCCAGCUCCCCUAUUUUUUGCCCCACUUCCAACACCGGACCAACUGGAGAAAGCCAAAUAUGCUCCCCAAAGCAAUCCCACAAGAUGCCCCACUUGUAAUAUUCUCCUCCAGCUUCCCCAUGUCCACAACCUCCGGUCCGGCCACACCCGGAGCCCUCCUGUGGUUCCAGAGACACUUCCACUCCUCUGCCUGUCUUUGAGUCUCUGCCAAGCAGCCAGGACUGGUUUCAGCCCCAUGCUUAACCCCUUGUCUGCCGGCCUUCAUCAGAAAUCCUCAGCCUGGGAGUAAGGAGCCAGGAAGGCUCUAGACAAAAUGUCCACCUUAAGGCAAGUGAUUUGCUUCUUGUUCUCUUCCCAAGUCAUCUGCUGUUGAUUUUAGAUUUUUGUACAACUGGAUGAACAUUUCCUCCCUCACUUGUACACAUUCCAGGAUAGAGAUAAGCAAUUUGUUUUAUUAUCCCCUUCAACCAUGCAAAAUUAACUUUUUCAAUGUGAUUCAUUUUGCUUAUAAAUACCACAAAGAAGACUAGUUACUGAAGUCUAAAAAUUGCUCAAUUC